GGCUCCGUAGUUCAACUGGAUAGAAUCUCAGAUUUCGGCUCUGAGGGUUGGGAGUUCGAACCUCUCCGGGGUCA
rnacentral:tRNA from 1 species